AUUGAACGCUGGCGGCAGGCCUAACACAUGCAAGUCGAGCGAGCGGCGGACGGGUGAGUAAUGUCUGGGAAACUGCCUGAUGGAGGGGGAGAAAUACUCGAAACGGUAGCUAAUACCGCAUACCAUCAGAACUGCCCAGAGGGAAUUAGCUUGUAGGUGGGGUAACGGCUCAACUAGGCGACGCUCCCUAGCUGGUCUGAGAGGAUAACCAGCCAAACUGGAACUGAGACACGGUCCAGCCUCCUACGGGAGGCAGCAGUGGGGAAUAUUGCACAAUGGGCGCAAGCCUGAUGCAGCCAUGCCGCGUGUGUGAAGAAGGUCUUCGGGUUGUAAAGCCCUUUCGGCGGGGAGGCGUUACCCGCAGAAGAAGCACCGGCUAACUCCGUGCCAGCAGCCGCGGUAAUAC
rnacentral:rRNA from 1 species